rnacentral:tRNA from 1 species
GCCCCCAUCGUCUAGUGGCCUAGGACGCCGGGUUCUCAGCUCGGUAACCGGGGUUCGACUCCCCGUGGGGGUG